rnacentral:rRNA from 1 species
UGGGGAAUAUUGCACAAUGGGCGCAAGCCUGAUGCAGCAACGCCGCGUGCGGGAUGACGGCCUUCGGGUUGUAAACCGCUUUCAGCAGGGACGAAGCUUUUUGUGACGGUACCUGCAGAAGAAGCACCGGCUAACUACGUGCCAGCAGCCGCGGUGAUACGUAGGGUGCGAGCGUUGUCCGGAUUUAUUGGGCGUAAAGGGCUCGUAGGCGGUUGAUCGCGUCGGAAGUGGAAACUUGAUGCUUAACGUUGAGCGUGCUUUCGAUACGGGUUGACUUGAGGAAGGUAGGGGAGAAUGGAAUUCCUGGUGGAGCGGUGGAAUGCGCAGAUAUCAGGAGGAACACCAGUGGCGAAGGCGGUUCUCUGGACCUUUCCUGACGCUGAGGAGCGAAAGCGUGGGGAGCGAACAGGCUUAGAUACCCUGGUAGUCCACGCUGUAAACGGUGGGUACUAGGUGUGGGGUCCAUUCCACGGAUUCUGUGCCGUAGCUAACGCAUUAAGUACCCCGCCUGGGGAGUACGGCCGCAAGGCUAAAACCCAAAGGAAUUGACGGGGCCCCGCACAAGCGGCGGAGCAUGCGGAUUAAUUCGAUGC